GAUGAACGCUAGCUACAGGCUUAACACAUGCAAGUCGAGGGGCAGCAUGGUCUUAGCUUGCUAAGGCCGAUGGCGACCGGCGCACGGGUGAGUAACACGUAUCCAACCUGCCGUCUACUCUUGGACAGCCUUCUGAAAGGAAGAUUAAUACAAGAUGGCAUCAUGAGUCCGCAUGUUCACAUGAUUAAAGGUAUUCCGGUAGACGAUGGGGAUGCGUUCCAUUAGAUAGUAGGCGGGGUAACGGCCCACCUAGUCUUCGAUGGAUAGGGGUUCUGAGAGGAAGGUCCCCCACAUUGGAACUGAGACACGGUCCAAACUCCUACGGGAGGCAGCAGUGAGGAAUAUUGGUCAAUGGGCGAGAGCCUGAACCAGCCAAGUAGCGUGAAGGAUGACUGCCCUAUGGGUUGUAAACUUCUUUUAUAAAGGAAUAAAGUCGGGUAUGCAUACCCGUUUGCAUGUACUUUAUGAAUAAGGAUCGGCUAACUCCGUGCCAGCAGCCGCGGUAAUACGGAGGAUCCGAGCGUUAUCCGGAUUUAUUGGGUUUAAAGGGAGCGUAGAUGGAUGUUUAAGUCAGUUGUGAAAGUUUGCGGCUCAACCGUAAAAUUGCAGUUGAUACUGGAUAUCUUGAGUGCAGUUGAGGCAGGCGGAAUUCGUGGUGUAGCGGUGAAAUGCUUAGAUAUCACGAAGAACUCCGAUUGCGAAGGCAGCCUGCUAAGCUGCAACUGACAUUGAGGCUCGAAAGUGUGGGUAUCAAACAGGAUUAGAUACCCUGGUAGUCCACACGGUAAACGAUGAAUACUCGCUGUUUGCGAUAUACAGCAAGCGGCCAAGCGAAAGCGUUAAGUAUUCCACCUGGGGAGUACGCCAGCAACGGUGAAACUCAAAGGAAUUGACGGGGGCCCGCACAAGCGGAGGAACAUGUGGUUUAAUUCGAUGAUACGCGAGGAACCUUACCCGGGCUUAAAUUGCAGAUGAAUUACGGUGAAAGCCGUAAGCCGCAAGGCAUCUGUGAAGGUGCUGCAUGGUUGUCGUCAGCUCGUGCCGUGAGGUGUCGGCUUAAGUGCCAUAACGAGCGCAACCCUUGUUGUCAGUUACUAACAGGUUCCGCUGAGGACUCUGACAAGACUGCCAUCGUAAGAUGUGAGGAAGGUGGGGAUGACGUCAAAUCAGCACGGCCCUUACGUCCGGGGCUACACACGUGUUACAAUGGGGGGUACAGAGGGCCGCUACCACGCGAGUGGAUGCCAAUCCCAAAAACCUCUCUCAGUUCGGACUGGAGUCUGCAACCCGACUCCACGAAGCUGGAUUCGCUAGUAAUCGCGCAUCAGCCACGGCGCGGUGAAUACGUUCCCGGGCCU
rnacentral:rRNA from 1 species